rnacentral:tRNA from 1 species
GCACCCGUAGCUCAGGGGAUAGAGCAAUGGCCUUCUAAGCCAUGUGCCGUUGGUUCGAUUCCAACCGGGUGUACCA